CAAAAUAAUAUUCAUCACCUUAUUUAUUUAAAUGAAUACAUUUACUGGAAUUGAAACAAAUUCAAACAAAAAUGAGUAAAAUAUGUCUCAGAUUUGAUUGAAUAUAAUUACUCUUGCACUGAAGAGGGAAAAGUUUUAAAUCUUUUAUUUCUUUACACCAACUUUAAAA